UUAGCGGCGGACGGGUGAGUAACACGUGGGUAACCUGCCUGUAAGACUGGGAUAACUCCGGGAAACCGGAGCUAAUACCGGAUAGUUCCUUGAACCGCAUGGUUCAAGGAUGAAAGACGGUUUCGGCUGUCACUUACAGAUGGACCCGCGGCGCAUUAGCUAGUUGGUGAGGUAACGGCUCACCAAGGCGACGAUGCGUAGCCGACCUGAGAGGGUGAUCGGCCACACUGGGACUGAGACACGGCCCAGACUCCUACGGGAGGCAGCAGUAGGGAAUCUUCCGCAAUGGACGAAAGUCUGACGGAGCAACGCCGCGUGAGUGAUGAAGGUUUUCGGAUCGUAAAGCUCUGUUGUUAGGGAAGAACAAGUGCAAGAGUAACUGCUUGCACCUUGACGGUACCUAACCAGAAAGCCACGGCUAACUACGUGCCAGCAGCCGCGGUAAUACGUAGGUGGCAAGCGUUGUCCGGAAUUAUUGGGCGUAAAGGGCUCGCAGGCGGUUUCUUAAGUCUGAUGUGAAAGCCCCCGGCUCAACCGGGGAGGGUCAUUGGAAACUGGGAAACUUGAGUGCAGAAGAGGAGAGUGGAAUUCCACGUGUAGCGGUGAAAUGCGUAGAGAUGUGGAGGAACACCAGUGGCGAAGGCGACUCUCUGGUCUGUAACUGACGCUGAGGAGCG
rnacentral:rRNA from 1 species